rnacentral:ncRNA from 1 species
GUAUCCUUCGCGAAUGAACUCGAUCCUGAACGCACUUCGACGCCGCCGCUCGCCGCUUCCCUAGGGAUGCCGCUGGCUCGUCAAGCAUUCGCGCUCGUCAUGGUUCGGUCACAUUGAAGCGCAGAGAAUGAAGCCACGGAAACACCGUGGCUUUUGU